rnacentral:rRNA from 1 species
UACGAAGGGGGCUAGCGUUGCUCGGAAUCACUGGGCGUAAAGGGUGCGUAGGCGGGUCUUUAAGUCAGGGGUGAAAUCCUGGAGCUCAACUCCAGAACUGCCUUUGAUACUGUGGAUCUUGAGUCCGGGAGAGGUGAGUGGAACUGCGAGUGUAGAGGUGAAAUUCGUAGAUAUUCGCAAGAACACCAGUGGCGAAGGCGGCUCACUGGCCCGGUACUGACGCUGAGGCGCGAAAGCCAGGGGAGCAAACGGG